rnacentral:rRNA from 1 species
UGGUGGAACGAUUAGUCUGGUUAAUUCCGAUUAAUUCCGUCUGAUUAGUCUAGCCUACAAAAUAGUGUGAAGAUCAUCAAGUUUUCAUUACUUCUUAGAGGGACUGAUGGCGCUUAGCCAUACGAAAUUGAGCAAUAACA